ensembl:lncRNA
CGAGAAUCGGUGUUGAAAGUAAAAGAGAAUAAAUAAUAGGUGACUCAAGUUGGAAUAGUAGGAAGUGCCUGUGUUUUUCGCCUCUCUUGUUCUCCUCGGAGUGGACACCAUUUUCCUCAAGGGGAGAAAAAAAGGGGAAUAGCUUUGCUCUGUCAUGCUCCUUCUAUGAUGCAUUGACUGACCACAGGCCCAAAGCAAUGGGGCUGAUGAACCAUGGACAGAAACCUCCAAAAUGAUUUUAUUUAUCUAACAAAUAUCGAGCGAAUAUUUCAUAUGCACCAGGAAUUAUUCCAACUGCUUGGGACUCAACAGUGAACAGGAGCUGAUGCACUGCUUCAGUCUGAAAUGUUCUUCCUGCUCCCAUAGAAAUCCUCUUGAUCAGUCAAGGUUCAGCCAUUCACCACACAGGGAAUACCCAGAUACACCUCAGAAGGAAUGAGUCACUUAUUUUUCUCUUGUCCUCUGCUUGAAUGUUUUUUCUGUCUUGCAUUAUGGCAGUUCUUUUCUUGCUUCCCUCCCCUUUUUAGACUCUUAGCUUCUCAAAAUGUUUUAUUUAUCUGUACGGCUCUGACAACAGCAUCUAAUAUGGUAACUGACCAUGGUAUGUGCUCAAUAAAUACUCACAG